GGUUAAGCGACUAAGCGUACACGGUGGAUGCCCUGGCAGUCAGAGGCGAUGAAGGACGUGCUAAUCUGCGAUAAGCGUCGGUAAGGUGAUAUGAACCGUUAUAACCGGCGAUUUCCGAAUGGGGAAACCCAGUGUGUUUCGACACACUAUCAUUAACUGAAUCCAUAGGUUAAUGAGGCGAACCGGGGGAACUGAAACAUCUAAGUACCCCGAGGAAAAGAAAUCAACCGAGAUUCCCCCAGUAGCGGCGAGCGAACGGGGAGGAGCCCAGAGUCUGAAUCAGUGUGUGUGUUAGUGGAAGCGUCUGGAAAGGCGCGCGAUACAGGGUGACAGCCCCGUACACAAAAAUGCACAUACUGUGAGCUCGAUGAGUAGGGCGGGACACGUGGUAUCCUGUCUGAAUAUGGGGGGACCAUCCUCCAAGGCUAAAUACUCCUGACUGACCGAUAGUGAACCAGUACCGUGAGGGAAAGGCGAAAAGAACCCCGGCGAGGGGAGUGAAAAAGAACCUGAAACCGUGUACGUACAAGCAGUGGGAGCCUCUUUUAUGGGGUGACUGCGUACCUUUUGUAUAAUGGGUCAGCGACUUAUAUUCUGUAGCAAGGUUAACCGAAUAGGGGAGCCGAAGGGAAACCGAGUCUUAACUGGGCGUUAAGUUGCAGGGUAUAGACCCGAAACCCGGUGAUCUAGCCAUGGGCAGGUUGAAGGUUGGGUAACACUAACUGGAGGACCGAACCGACUAAUGUUGAAAAAUUAGCGGAUGACUUGUGGCUGGGGGUGAAAGGCCAAUCAAACCGGGAGAUAGCUGGUUCUCCCCGAAAGCUAUUUAGGUAGCGCCUCGUGAAUUCAUCUCCGGGGGUAGAGCACUGUUUCGGCAAGGGGGUCAUCCCGACUUACCAACCCGAUGCAAACUGCGAAUACCGGAGAAUGUUAUCACGGGAGACACACGGCGGGUGCUAACGUCCGUCGUGAAGAGGGAAACAACCCAGACCGCCAGCUAAGGUCCCAAAGUCAUGGUUAAGUGGGAAACGAUGUGGGAAGGCCCAGACAGCCAGGAUGUUGGCUUAGAAGCAGCCAUCAUUUAAAGAAAGCGUAAUAGCUCACUGGUCGAGUCGGCCUGCGCGGAAGAUGUAACGGGGCUAAACCAUGCACCGAAGCUGCGGCAGCGACGCUUAUGCGUUGUUGGGUAGGGGAGCGUUCUGUAAGCCUGUGAAGGUGUGCUGUGAGGCAUGCUGGAGGUAUCAGAAGUGCGAAUGCUGACAUAAGUAACGAUAAAGCGGGUGAAAAGCCCGCUCGCCGGAAGACCAAGGGUUCCUGUCCAACGUUAAUCGGGGCAGGGUGAGUCGACCCCUAAGGCGAGGCCGAAAGGCGUAGUCGAUGGGAAACAGGUUAAUAUUCCUGUACUUGGUGUUACUGCGAAGGGGGGACGGAGAAGGCUAUGUUGGCCGGGCGACGGUUGUCCCGGUUUAAGCGUGUAGGCUGGUUUUCCAGGCAAAUCCGGAAAAUCAAGGCUGAGGCGUGAUGACGAGGCACUACGGUGCUGAAGCAACAAAUGCCCUGCUUCCAGGAAAAGCCUCUAAGCAUCAGGUAACAUCAAAUCGUACCCCAAACCGACACAGGUGGUCAGGUAGAGAAUACCAAGGCGCUUGAGAGAACUCGGGUGAAGGAACUAGGCAAAAUGGUGCCGUAACUUCGGGAGAAGGCACGCUGAUAUGUAGGUGAAGUCCCUUGCGGAUGGAGCUGAAAUCAGUCGAAGAUACCAGCUGGCUGCAACUGUUUAUUAAAAACACAGCACUGUGCAAACACGAAAGUGGACGUAUACGGUGUGACGCCUGCCCGGUGCCGGAAGGUUAAUUGAUGGGGUCAGCGCAAGCGAAGCUCUUGAUCGAAGCCCCGGUAAACGGCGGCCGUAACUAUAACGGUCCUAAGGUAGCGAAAUUCCUUGUCGGGUAAGUUCCGACCUGCACGAAUGGCGUAAUGAUGGCCAGGCUGUCUCCACCCGAGACUCAGUGAAAUUGAACUCGCUGUGAAGAUGCAGUGUACCCGCGGCAAGACGGAAAGACCCCGUGAACCUUUACUAUAGCUUGACACUGAACAUUGAGCCUUGAUGUGUAGGAUAGGUGGGAGGCUU
rnacentral:rRNA from 1 species